AACGAACGCUGGCGGCAGGCUUAACACAUGCAAGUCGAACGGUUGUAGCAAUACAGCAGUGGCGCACGGGUGAGUAACGCGUGGAUAUCUGCCUUUUGGUUCGGAAUAACUCCGGGAAACUGGAGUUAAUACCGGAUGGUUCCUACGGGAUAAAGAUUUAUCGCUAAAAGAUGAGUCCGCGUACGAUUAGCUAGUUGGUGGGGUAAUGGCCCACCAAGGCGACGAUCGUUAGCUGGUCUGAGAGGACGAUCAGCCACACUGGGACUGAGACACGGCCCAGACUCCUACGGGAGGCAGCAGUGGGGAAUAUUGGACAAUGGGGGCAACCCUGAUCCAGCCAUGCCGCGUGAGUGAUGAAGGCCUUCGGGUUGUAAAGCUCUUUUGGCGGGGACGAUGAUGACGGUACCCGCAGAAUAAGCCCCGGCUAACUUCGUGCCAGCCGCCGCCGUAA
rnacentral:rRNA from 1 species